UCGUGACUGUUUUACUAGCUGUGAGGCCACCAUUGUACUGGCUACCAUAACAUUUCUUGGUUUUCUUUCUAGACCUGAACUAGUUAUUUCCUACUCACCUCCUGGAAUGGCUAAUAAACACUAAAGCUUCGCAGUUUCUGAAAAGAUCAUGAAGCUCUGAGAGUAGUGAAAAGCUUCCUGACAUUGAGGUCACUGUGGAAGCCUCAACCGAGAUGUCUCACCCCAUCCUCUAUGAUGCAACAAGAAGCCCCUGGGAAACGUUUCAGUCCCACUCUGUACUUCUGUCAUUGUGCUCAUCACAGUCUGAACCACCUAAGCUGAAGAUUCCCUUGAGAACAAGGGCUAGCCUGUGAUUUCAUGGCCUUUCUUCCAUUUGUGGUUCUUGCCAAGUGGAAUUUAAGUGACCUCUUAUCAAGAUGGAUAAACCCAAGUUUCCCAGUGCCAGAAUAUAGAAAAUGGAUGGACAACUGAAUCUACCAUGAAAGACUUCAGAGACCAGGAAGAGAGACUGACUGGGCAACAUCUUAUUCAGCUGGAUCUACCAUGAAAGACUUCAGAAUCCAGGAAGAGAGACUGACUGCAACAUGUUAUUCAGG